rnacentral:rRNA from 1 species
GCAAUUGGAGGGCAAGUCUGGUGCCAGCAGCCGCGGUAAUUCCAGCUCCAAUAGCGUAUAUUAAAGUUGUUGCAGUUAAAAAGCUCGUAGUUGAAGUUCUGAUUGCUCAGGUUUCCAGCCUUAGGCGGAGAUACUGACAGUCAUCCGCUUGCAAACAUAUGUUCGAUCUUCACCGGUUGGCUAUGUGAGUAAGCACUUACCUUGAGAAAAACAGAGUGUUCCAGGCAGGUUUGUCCGGGGAUGCAUUAGCAUGGAAUAAUAGAACAUGACUGAAGUCGAUUUAUUGGUUUAAGGCUUUAGUAAUGAUUAAUAGGAACAGUCGGGGGCAUUCGUACUCAGCAGUCAGAGGUGAAAUUCUAAGAUUUGCUGAAGACGAACUAAUGCGAAAAGCAUUUGCCAAGGAUGUUUUCAUUAAUCAAGAACGAAAGUUAGGGGAU